AUUGAACGCUUGCGGGAGGCCUAACACAUGCAAGUCGAACGAGUGGCGGACGGGUGAGUAAUGUCUGGGAAACUGCCCGAUGGCGGGGGAUAACUACUGGAAACGGUAGCUAAUACCGCAUACCAUCGGAUUUGCCUAGAUGGGAUUAGCUAGUAGGUGGGGUAACGGCUCACCUCGGCGACGAUCCCUAGCUGGUCUGAGAGGAGGACCGGCCACACUGGGACUGGGACACGGCCCAGACUCCUACGGGAGGCAGCAGUGGGGAAUAUUGCACAAUGGGCGAAAGCCUGAUGCAGCCAUGCCGCGUGUAUGAAGAAGGCCUUCGGGUGGUAAAGUACUUUCGGCAGAGAGGCGGUAUUCGAAGAAGAAGCACCGGCUAACUACGUGCCAGCAGCCGCGGUAAUUC
rnacentral:rRNA from 1 species